rnacentral:lncRNA from 1 species
AUAGUUGAAACUUUACAUAUAAAUGAGUCUUUUUAUAAUUGAGCUCGCAUUUAUAUUUUUAUUUUGCUAAAAAUUAAAUAAUAAAAAUAUAUAUUAUAUAUAAUUAUUUAUUUAUAUAUAAAAAUAUAAAUUAAAUAAAUUAUAUAAAUAUAAAAUAUAUUAUAUAUAAUUAUUUAUUUAUAUAUAAAAAUAUAAAUUAUAUAAAUUAUAUAAAUAUAAAAUAUAUGUAUUCGAACUGUUAUCGAGCCGAAUACUAGCGAGCUGAAUAUAUUUAUCUCAAUAUAUUUAUCUCAAUAUAUUUAUUUAACGACUCUUUGUUCGACAGAAUUAAUCUGGGGGAUAUUUUAAAGCGGGUUAUUAUUUAAAGUAUUUUUAAAUGUAAAAUUUGUUAUAUUACUUGCAAUCUCUAUACAUUAGUUUUGCCACCAUAUUACGAGCACAAGCAUUGAUACAGCUCGUAUGGAAUAUCAUUUUUAUAUAAUAUCGAUAUCUUAACAAUCAUUAUAUGGAGAGUUUUGAUUUGCCUGAUUGGUUGAUGAACGUGUAUUUAAAAUUCCAUACGAGUUUAAUUAAAUCCAGAGAGUACGGAGGCUUUCGAGUUUAUAAGUCGUUUUUGAUAACGAAACUUUCGAAUCGAUAAUCGACUCCGUUAAAUUUGAUCUCGCGUAUUUGAAAUAUCUAGAAAAUAAAUGUUGCGAUUUUUCAAUAUCAUUUACCUAGUAAUUAAAAGGGUUCAAAAUCAACGACUGAAAAUAAAAAUCUCACAAAAAGUGAUGAUAUAAUACUAAAAUUUUCGAUCAGAGAUAUUGAUCUUGCUGUAAAUAGUAUAAAAAAAUUUCUAUCAAAAUUUUAUCUGAUUUGAAUACUUCUACACCUUACAAAUGAUAUACAUCAACUAUUAAAAAUUAUUGAUUUUGAUUCUUUCUUAUCGCCAGGUAAAUAAUAUUGAAAAAUCGCAAAAUUUAUUUUCUAGAUAUUUCAAAUACGCUAAAUCAAGUCUAAUGAAACCGAUCGUCGAUUAAAAUUCCAUGAAAAUGACUUAGUAGUACGGAGACCUUCAUACUCCUAAUAGCACACAAGACCUAUAUAUAUAGAGUGAGGCUACUAUGCUAUCGGAAGCACGGAGCCUUCGGUGCUUCCAGCUCGUUUUCGAUGUUGCGACUUUCGAAUCGUCGAUCGGCUCCGUUAAACUUGAUCUAGAGUAUUUGGAGUACCUAGAAAAUAAAUUUUAUUAUUUUUCGAUAUAAUUUGCCUAGUGAUUGAAUGGGCUCAAAAUCAACAAAUUUCAAUGGCCGUAAUGAGCCGUUUGUAAUUUAACGGUGUAGAAAUAUCCAAAUCACGUGAAAUUUUAAUAGAAAAUUCUUUAUAUUAUAUAAAACAAGAUCAAUAUCUUUGAUUUAAAAUUUCAAUAUUAUAUUAUUACAUUUUGUAAGAUUUUUAUUUUCAACCGUUGAUUUUGAGCCCUUCGUUCACUAGGCAAAUGAUAUCGUAAAAUCAUAAAAUCUACUUUCUAGAUACUUCAAAUACUCUAGAUCAAGUUUAACGGAGCCGAUCGACGAUUUGAAAGUCGCAAUAUCGAAAACGAGCUGAAAGCACGGAAGGCUCCGUGCUUUCGAUAGCAUAGUAACCUCACUAUAUAUAUAUAUAUAUAUAUAUAUAU